GGCGGGUCGAUAGGGCCGAAUACAAUACCUUCGGGGAAUAAGCCCAGCCGUCUAGUUGCGGUAGUUGAGACCCGCCACUCAUAU
rnacentral:ncRNA from 1 species